rnacentral:tRNA from 1 species
GGCUCUGUAGUGAAGUUCAUGGUGAGUUGCAAGCUCAUUGAUGUGUACUAACAGUACACCGGAGUCU